GUUUAACAACAGCAGCAGCAACUAGAGGAUGUGUUAAGACACAGUUCAUGGCACAUGUGAUACGAACUUGUGAUUUCUCUCCUCAGGGUAUUUUAGAAAUGCAAGUAACCCUCAUCUUGAAGUUGCUGGAGAGACCAUCUUGGCUUUGCAAUCUGACCAGGACCAAGAUGUUUCCUUUUUGCCACCCUAGAACCAAGCGACAGAGUCUUCUGGACCCUACUGCACUAGGAAAACAGGAUGGACUCCUCUGGGAAGGUUGUUUCAUGCCUGGCACCUUUGGCUUGUGACCUGAAGGGGAACUGAUUGUAUUUUAUCUGCUGAAGAAGAAAAGAUUUCUGAAACUUCCACAUUGUGCACCCAAAUGACAGACCCCUUUCCUGUCUGAGGCUCCCAGACUGAAUCUUGGUGGGGACUUAAGUGCAGAUGGCUAGGCCUGUGCCACAUUCCCCAGCCCCACAGGCCUGACCCAGGACACCUUGUGGACAGGGUGCAGGCCUGCCAGCAACUUGUUUUGUUCAAGACAGACUAUAUUCGAGUCUCCCCUCCCGAUCGCUUAUUAGAAGCUCUGAAAUCUUUACUGGACUUGCAUAUUUGUUUCCCUUUUGCUUUUAUAUAAAAUAUAGUUUAUGGUGCUAUAUUUAUUUUUAACUGAGAUACUGUACAUAUGUAAAUAUCUUUUUUUAUUUUUAGAUAAGAUCUCACUAAGUUGCUCAAGCUGGCCUUGAACUUGGGAUCCAUCUACCUCAGCCUCCCAAGCAGCUGGGAUUACAGGCGUGCACCGCCAUGCCCAGCUUGUAAAUAGCUCUUGACAGGAAGAAAAUAUAUGAAUGUAAUAUUAGCUUCCUAUCAGUGAACUGAACAAAUAUAUCAUUGAAAUUUAUGCUGCAAUCCGAGUUGCUGCAAACAUAGCCCAGUUUGUUUACUUUUGAAAAAUGUGACAAAGCUACUAAGAAUGAUUUAUGGCAGGCUUUCUACUACUGUGGUUGGGACUUCUUAAGCACUCACCCUCUGCUUCUUUCCGGAACUCUCCUCACAAAGAUGGCGUUGGUGUAAAGCUGAAGGAUUUUUCAUUUUCGUACAGAUAUAUUGUCGAUGUUUAAGAACUUGAGAGGGAAGUAGAUAACUGAGAUGCAUGGAUAUCAACUUUCAUGCUUUAGAAUACUAAAAGAUAGGAAACCAUAGUUCUGAUCAGAACUUGCCCACAAAUACCAGUGAUUCUGGGGGGUUAAAUCAUGUACUCUUCAAAUUGAUGUAAGUACACCGAACUUAGAUUUCAUGCUUUUAAAAUUUAGACUCAAAUGCUUUAGAAUUUAACAGUUUUUUCAUUAGUUAAUAAUUCAAGAUUCUGUAAACAUUUGAUUAAAUUCUGCAUUCAUAUGUCGUUGUUCUUGUUUUUCUGUUUAUCUUCUCAACAAUGGGCCCAGAGAAGAAGGAAGAGUAGCCCACAGGGGAUUUAGGAACCAGCUGCCAAGGGCCCUCUUUUCCUCUCUGAUUUUUUUUUUUUUUU
rnacentral:lncRNA from 1 species